ensembl:lncRNA
CUCUUCGUAUGAGCUGUGUCUCCACACACAAUAUCAUCUAUAAAAUGGACGCUAGCAAGAUUUUCAGAGUCCCAUGCAUUUGCCCCUGAGAAUCUGCUAACCAAAGGAUGUAUAACAAACUAUCAGGAUCCUCUUCCUGUUCAGUUCCAGCAGUUUCUGUGUGCUUUCCUUUCUCCAUGGACAAAAAUUCCCAGCAAAAAGAGUAGGAAGAAAAAGUAUCUGUAAUGGGCAACAUUCUCUAAAGAGAGAUCUUCAUUUGCCUGUCUCCUUCCUGCAUCACAGAGCAGCCAUGAAUCA